rnacentral:rRNA from 1 species
GACGAACGCUGGCGGCGUGCUUAACACAUGCAAGUCGAACGGAAAGGCCCUGCUUUUGUGGGGUGCUCGAGUGGCGAACGGGUGAGUAACACGUGAGUAACCUGCCCUCGACUUCGGGAUAACUUCCGGAAAAUGGGGCUAAUAACGGAUAGGAGCUCCUGCUGCCAGGUGGGGGUUGGUAAGUUUCGGCAGGUGGGGAUGGUCUGGCGGUUUCUCAGUAUGUUGGUGGGGAAGUGACUUACCACGGCUUUGACGGGUAGCCGGCCUGCAGUGGUGACCGGGCACAUUGGGACAGAGAUACGGCCCGGACUCCUACGGGAGGCAGGGGUGGGGAAGAUUGCACGAUGGGCGGAAGCCUGAUGCAGCAUCGCCGCGUGCGGGAUAUAGGCCUUCGGUUUGUAAACCGCUUUCGCCUGAGACGAAGCGUGAGUGACGGUAAUGUGUAAAGAAGCACCGGCUAACUACGUG